AACGAACGCUGGCGGCAUGCCUAACACAUGCAAGUCGAACGAGACCUUCGGGUCUAGUGGCGCACGGGUGCGUAACGCGUGGGAACCUGCCCUUAGGUUCGGAAUAACUCCCCGAAAGGGGUGCUAAUACCGGAUAAUGUCUUCGGACCAAAGAUUUAUCGCCUUUGGAUGGGCCCGCGUUGGAUUAGCUAGUUGGUAGGGUAAAAGCCUACCAAGGCGACGAUCCAUAGCUGGUCUGAGAGGAUGAUCAGCCACACUGGGACUGAGACACGGCCCAGACUCCUACGGGAGGCAGCAGUGGGGAAUAUUGGACAAUGGGCGAAAGCCUGAUCCAGCAAUGCCGCGUGAGUGAUGAAGGCCUUAGGGUUGUAAAGCUCUUUUACCCGUGAUGAUAGUGACAGUACCGGGAGAAUAAGCUCCGGCUAACUCCGUG
rnacentral:rRNA from 1 species